GACGAACGCUGGCGGCGUGCUUAACACAUGCAAGUCGAACGAAGCAUAUACGACGGAGACUUCGGUCAAAGAUGUAUAUGACUGAGUGGCGGACGGGUGAGUAACGCGUGAGCAACCUGCCUUUAAGAGGGGGACAACUUAGGGAAACUUAAGCUAAUACCGCAUGAUAUAUGGAGUUCGCAUGGACACCAUAUCAAAGAUUUAUCGCUUAAAGAUGGGCUCGCGUCCGAUUAGGUAGUUGGUGGGGUAACGGCCUACCAAGCCGACGAUCGGUAGCCGGACUGAGAGGUCGAUCGGCCACAUUGGGACUGAGACACGGCCCAGACUCCUACGGGAGGCAGCAGUGGGGAAUAUUGGGCAAUGGGGGGAACCCUGACCCAGCAACGCCGCGUGGAGGAAGAAGGUUUUCGGAUCGGUAAACUCCUGUCCUCAGGGAAGAGCAGAAGACGGUACCUGAGGAGGAAGCCCCCGGCUAACUACGUG
rnacentral:rRNA from 1 species